rnacentral:rRNA from 1 species
UACGUAGGGGGCAAGCGUUGUCCGGAUUUAUUGGGCGUAAAGAGCUCGUAGGCGGCCAACUAAGUCAGACGUGAAAUCCCCAGGCUUAACCUGGGAACUGCGUCUGAUACUGGAUGGCUUGAAUUCGGGAGAGGGAUGCAGAAUUCCAGGUGUAGCGGUGAAAUGCGUAGAUAUCUGGAGGAAUACCGGUGGCGAAGGCGGCAUCCUGGACCGACAUUGACGCUGAGGAGCGAAAGCUAGGGGAGCAAACGGG